UUCAAUAUUGUUGGCUUUAUGUUAAGGUCUUUGAUCUGUUUGGAUUUUAGUUUUGUGCAUAGAGAUAAAUAUGGAUCUAUUUUCAUUCUUCUACAUGAUGAUGUCUAAUUAAUCCUUAAAGGGAGAAACUGACAGUCAAAAUGCUGGGCUUAUUUUAAAUCUCAGGGGGGGGCUGCUAGGCACUCCACUAAUUCGGCCAAGGUAAGAGAGGUUCUCCAGGGGCCAAUUAAAAUCUAUGUUCCUUAAAUGUUUAAUAAAGAUUUACAGACAUUUUGCUUAACCUCUGAAGGUCAGCAGGCAACAAUAGCCAUGGCCUUCAUAGGACAGUCAACAUCAGAUAUAAGGACAGCAGGUAGAUAGGUUCCAAGAUGAUACUUUGCAGAAUUUGGGGAGACAGAGAAAAUGUUAAAUGAGAGACAGAGAAAGUAGAGAGAAAGAAAGAGGAAGGUGGGAGGCAGAGAAAAGAGAAAACCGAAGGGAUCAUAGACAAGAAAUUUGGACUCAAGACAGAUAGGGAGCCUGGGCAACAGAAGACCAAAGACAAAUAAAGAUGGACAGAGGCACCCCUUGGACAAAGGCCAAUGUGCUUAUGGCAAGGAAAAGGACAUUAGAUACCUCUAUAGAUUUUUUAAGGGACACAGGAACUGAGUACUCUGUGCUAAAACAACCAUCAAUACAAACUGGACACCUUACGAACUAUAAAUUUGGAAAAAGGACUGAGACAAAUAAAUGACUCCUUCCUCCCUGGUCAUCCCUGAAUGUAUAUAAUCAAAGCCUUUUGUUGACCAAACAAGGGACUUUCGCCUUUCCUGCUGUUUUCAGUUCUGCAGGAGACUCAGGCUGCUUACCUGCAUCUGCCUCCACCAUGUCCUCCUCACCAGGAUGACCACCUCCCCCUGCCAACAGUACCAGAGAAAUCCUUGCCUCCUAGCAACUGCCUUGAUGCUGCACUUGCCCUAAAGCCUGCAUGAGCCCUGACUACUCACCCUGCAGUCUUGCUCCCCUCACCCAUGUCAGACUGCAAUAGAACACUCGCAAUGUGACCACAGGUGCUCUCCUGCACUGGGCUGCUGCUCCUGUGUCCUGCUCACAUCAAUGGACUAUGGAUCCUACCAGCAUCUGCAGAAAGGACAGGCGGCUGGCAGAAAAGCAGGCUGAGCUGUGCCUGGCAGACCCGGAAAUGAUGGCAAAGCUUGCCUGGGGCACAAGGCUGAGGGUCGGAGCCAAGCAGGCAUACAAGACUGAAGACUGUCAUCUGUCCACCUAAAGACCCUUCCAAUUGUCCAAGCCCAGAUAUGGAAGCUCCUGACUGCUGCCUACCAGCCCAAACACCCAGAGACUUCACAUCCGUUGAUAUGUCCGGAGACAUCAGUCCCAGAACCUUGAACCCUGCUGGAAAGGACUCUACACCAUACUCCUUACCACCCCCAUGGCACUGAAGGUUGACGGAAUUGCUGCCUGGAUCCUUGCAUCACAGGUCAAAGUGGCCCAGCCGGGACAUCUCAGCGGCGAUCAGAACCGAGGAUCAUCAUGAAGUCUCCAGUGCUCUCAAAACCUGUUAAAGAUAAGACUUGUCAGGGCUUAGCAUUGACAAUAACCCUGGCCCUCCUUGCUUUAUCCCAGAUUUCUGUUCAUUAUCUGCCUGAUAUCAACCCACGUUGGUUACCAGUAAUAGCCCAGGGAAAAAGAUUCUCCCCAGGAGGGCAAUUUGG